UACCUCAUAAUUCAGGGGCAGAAUAUUAUACUUCUAAUAUAAGUACCCAGGUUCGACUCCUGGUGGGGUAU
rnacentral:tRNA from 1 species